rnacentral:rRNA from 1 species
UACGUAGGGCGCAAGCGUUGUCCGGAAUUAUUGGGCGUAAAGAGCUCGUAGGCGGCUUGUCACGUCGGGUGUGAAAGCCCGGGGCUUAACCCCGGGCCUGCAUUCGAUACGGGCUGGCUAGAGUGUGGUAGGGGAGAUCGGAAUUCCUGGUGUAGCGGUGAAAUGCGUAGAUAUCGGGAGGAACACCAGUGGCGAAGGCGACUUCCUGGCCUGUUCUUGACGCUGAGGCGCGAAAGCUAGGGUAGCAAACGGG